AUGAAUGUCGCCGUUCCUAUGCAGGUGGCGGAUAGUCCGAGGGCUAGCCGGACUAGUGGAGUUGCCGAGUUGAUGCGGCAACUUGACGUGGCGGAUGCGGACAUCGCACUUGUCAACCGGCGACUUGACGAAUCGCAAGACGGUGAUGCUGCUGUGGAGAGUCUUCGGGCCGAACUUGCUCAAGCUAAGGAGCAAGCCCGAAGGAGUGACGCGGCUGCCUCGAGGGCAGCCGAGGAGUUGAAAGCUGAAAGGGCUGCACACUGCCUAAGCAGGGAAGAGAUGGCCGAAUUGGCCAUGAAAUUAAAAGAUGCUGCCGACCGCAAUGAGGCUCUUGAAAAGGAGCGCUUAUCGGAGCGGGAACACCUGAGGAAGGCCACCGCCGAGGCCAAGGAUGCCCGUUCUGCAAUGCGGGCCAUGAAGGAGGAGCUGCGCCAGGCCGGAGAUAUCAUGGCUGGCAAGCCUUUUCUGCUGCGACGCCGGUUUAUGGAUCAAACGUAUGCUCAAUUUGGCCAGCUGUGGAGUCCGGAGGAUCCGUAUAUGGACUUAGCGGCAAGUGUGGCUGAUGUCGUUGAGCACUUCCGGAGCCAGAAGGAUCACAAGACGGAAGAGCUAUUUUGGUCUCAAUUCCAUAGUUCGGAUCGCUCACUUCCGUUGACCGACCGGUUGGCCGAAUGGGCCGAGCUAAAUAGAUUGUCCGGACUUGCCAUGACUGACAUCGUGGCUCAUGUCUGGCCAGAGAGGCCCAAGGCGACGAGCUACUUCAGCUUACUGCAGCAAUUUCUUGGAGCGGUGCCGCAUAUCAAGGAGAUGAAGCGGUCGGCCUGCAUCGAAGGCGCGCGGAUGGCUCUUGCCCGUGUGAAGGCACAUUGGACAGAGAUGGAUGCCACCGCUGUUGCUGCCCAGGGUUCGGAUGAAAGCCGGCUCCCCGCCGAGCACUAUUUCGGGGAAGUUAUGCGUGGCGCUCGUGUAAUAGAGUCGCGGUGCUCAAAAAAUGUCACGUUCAAAUGA
rnacentral:rRNA from 1 species